rnacentral:rRNA from 1 species
GAAACGGUAGCUAAUACCGCAUAACGUCGCAAGACCAAAGAGGGGGACCUUCGGGCCUCUUGCCAUCGGAUGUGCCCAGAUGGGAUUAGCUAGUAGGUGGGGUAAAGGCUCACCUAGGCGACGAUCCCUAGCUGGUCUGAGAGGAUGACCAGCCACACUGGAACUGAGACACGGUCCAGACUCCUACGGGAGGCAGCAGUGGGGAAUAUUGCACAAUGGGCGCAAGCCUGAUGCAGCCAUGCCGCGUGUAUGAAGAAGGCCUUCGGGUUGUAAAGUACUUUCAGCGGGGAGGAAGGGAGUAAAGUUAAUACCUUUGCUCAUUGACGUUACCCGCAGAAGAAGCACCGGCUAACUCCGUGCCAGCAGCCGCGGUAAUACGGAGGGUGCAAGCGUUAAUCGGAAUUACUGGGCGUAAAGCGCACGCAGGCGGUUUGUUAAGUCAGAUGUGAAAUCCCCGGGCUCAACCUGGGAACUGCAUCUGAUACUGGCAAGCUUGAGUC